rnacentral:rRNA from 1 species
AUGUGGAGCGCUUAGAAGUGAGAAUGCCGGUGUGAGUAGCGAAAGACGGGUGAGAAUCCCGUCCACCGAUUGACUAAGGUUUCCAGAGGAAGGCUCGUCCGCUCUGGGUUAGUCGGGUCCUAAGCUGAGGCCGACAGGCGUAGGCGAUGGAUAACAGGUUGAUAUUCCUGUACCACCAUUAUUCGUUUUAAGCGAUGGGGGGACGCAGUAGGAUAGGCGAAGCGUGCUGUUGGAGUGCACGUCCAAGCAGUGAGAUUGAGUGUUAGGCAAAUCCGGCACUCUUAAGAUUGAGCUGUGAUGGGGAGAGGAACUUGUUCCUCGAGUCGUUGAUUUCACACUGCCGAGAAAAGCCUCUAGCUAGAAUAACGGUGCCCGUACCGCAAACCGACACAGGUAGUCAAGAUGAGAAUUCUAAGGUGAGCGAGCGAACUCUCGUUAAGGAACUCGGCAAAAUGACCCCGUAACUUCGGGAGAAGGGGUGCUCUUUGAGGUUCACGCUUCGAAGAGCCGCAGUGAAUAGGCCCAAGCGACUGUUUAUCAAAAACACAGGUCUCUGCUAAACCGUAAGGUGACGUAUAGGGGCUGACGCCUGCCCGGUGCUGGAAGGUUAAGAGGAGUGGUUAGCGCAAGCGAAGCUACGAAUCGAAGCCCCAGUAAACGGCGGCCGUAACUAUAACGGUCCUAAGGUAGCGAAAUUCCUUGUCGGGUAAGUUCCGACCCGCACGAAAGGCGUAACGAUUUGGGCACUGUCUCAACGAGAGACUCGGUGAAAUCAUAGUACCGGUGAAGAUGCCGGUUACCCGCGACAGGACGGAAAGACCCCGUGGAGCUUUACUGUAGCCUGAUAUUGAAAUUCGGUACAGUUUGUACAGGAUAGGUAGGAGCCUUAGAAGCGUGAGCGCUAGCUUACGUGGAGGCAUUGGUGGGAUACUACCCUAAUUGUAUUGGAUUUCUAACCCGCAGCACUUAUCGUGCUGGGAGACAGUGUCAGGCGGGCAGUUUGACUGGGGCGGUCGCCUCCUAAAGAGUAACGGAGGCGCUCAAAGGUUCCCUCAGAAUGGUUGGAAAUCAUUCAUAGAGUGUAAAGGCAUAAGGGAGCUUGACUGCGAGACCUACAAGUCGAGCAGGGUCGAAAGACGGACUUAGUGAUCCGGUGGUUCCGCAUGGAAGGGCCAUCGCUCAACGGAUAAAAGCUACCCCGGGGAUAACAGGCUUAUCUCCCCCAAGAGUUCACAUCGACGGGGAGGUUUGGCACCUCGAUGUCGGCUCAUCGCAUCCUGGGGCUGUAGUCGGUCCCAAGGGUUGGGCUGUUCGCCCAUUAAAGCGGUACGCGAGCUGGGUUCAGAACGUCGUGAGACAGUUCGGUCCCUAUCCGUCGUGGGCGUAGGAAAUUUGAGAGGAGCUGUCCUUAGUACGAGAGGACCGGGAUGGACAUACCUCUGGUGUACCAGUUGUCGUGCCAACGGCAUAGCUGGGUAGCUAUGUAUGGACGGGAUAAGUGCUGAAAGCAUCUAAGCAUGAAGCCCCCCUCGAGAUGAGAUUUCCCAACUUCGGUUAUAAGAUCCCUCAAAGAUGAUGAGGUGAAUAGGUUCGAGGUGGAAGCGUAGCGAUACGUGGAGCUGACGAAUACUAAUCGAUCGAAGACUUAA